rnacentral:rRNA from 1 species
UACGUAGGGUGCAAGCGUUGUCCGGAAUUAUUGGGCGUAAAGAGCUCGUAGGUGGCUUGUCGCGUCUGCCGUGAAAGCCCGUGGCUUAACUACGGGUCUGCGGUGGAUACGGGCAGGCUAGAGGCUGGUAGGGGCAAGCGGAAUUCCUGGUGUAGCGGUGAAAUGCGUAGAUAUCAGGAGGAACACCGGCGGUGUAGACGGCUGUCUGGACAGUAACUGACGCUGAGACACGAAAGCGUGGGGAGCAAACAGG